UACAGAGGUCCCAAGCGUUGUUCGGAUUCAUUGGGCGUAAAGGGUGCGUAGGCGGCCCGCUAAGUCGAACGUGAAAUCCCCGAGCUCAACUCGGGAACUGCGUCCGAUACUGGCGGGCUUGAAUCCGGGAGAGGGAUGCGGAAUUCCAGGUGUAGCGGUGAAAUGCGUAGAUAUCUGGAGGAACACCGGUGGCGAAGGCGGCAUCCUGGACCGGCAUUGACGCUGAGGCGCGAAAGCUAGGGGAGCAAACGGG
rnacentral:rRNA from 1 species